rnacentral:rRNA from 1 species
CCCUUAGAUGUUCUGGGCCGCACGCGCGCUACACUGAUGCAUUCGACGAGUCUAAAACCUGCUCUGAUAGGGGUGGGUAAUCUUUUGAAUGUGCAUCGUGAUUGGGAUAGAUGAUUGCAAUUUUUCAUCUUCAACGAGGAAUGCCUAGUAAACGCAAGUCAUCAGCUUGCAUUGAUUACGUCCCUGCCCUUUGUACACACCGCCCGUCGCUCCUACCGAUUGAAUGAUCCGAUGAAUAUCAUGGAUUGAGGAUGCAAGUAGGUUCGCCUAUCUUCAUCUUCGAGAAGUGAAGUAAAUCUUAUCAUUUAGAGGAAGGAGAAGUCGUAACA